CCUACGGGGGGCUGCAGUCGAGAAUCAUUCACAAUGGGGGAAACCCUGAUGGUGCGACGCCGCGUGGGGGAAUGAAGGUCUUCGGAUUGUAAACCCCUGUCAUGUGGGAGCAAAUUAAAAAGAUAGUACCACAAGAGGAAGAGACGGCUAACUCUGUGCCAGCAGCCGCGGUAAUACAGAGGUCUCAAGCGUUGUUCGGAAUCACUGGGCGUAAAGCGUGCGUAGGCUGUUUCGUAAGUCGUGUGUGAAAGGCGCGGGCUCAACCCGCGGACGGCACAUGAUACUGCGAGACUAGAGUAAAGGAGGGGGAACCGGAAUUCUCGGUGUAGCAGUGAAAUGCGUAGAUAUCGAGAGGAACACUCGUGGCGAAGGCGGGUUCCUGGUCAUUAACUGACGCUGAGGCACGAAGGCCAGGGGAGCGAAAGGGAUUAGAUACCCGAGUAGUC
rnacentral:rRNA from 1 species